rnacentral:rRNA from 1 species
AAUUCGAAGCAACGCGAAGAACUUACCAGGCCUUGACAUGCAGAGAACUUUCCAGAGAUGGAUUGGUGCCUUCGGGAACUCUGACACAGGUGCUGCAUGGCUGUCGUCAGCUCGUGUCGUGAGAUGUUGGGUUAAGUCCCGUAACGAGCGCAACCCUUGUCCUUAGUUACCAGCACGUUAUGGUGGGCACUCUAAGGAGACUGCCGGUGACAAACCGGAGGAAGGUGGGGGAUGACGUCAAGUCAUCAUGGCCCUUACGGCCUGGGCUACACACGUGCUACAAUGGUCGGUACAAAGGGUUGCCAAGCCGCGAGGUGGAGCUAAUCCCAUAAAACCGAUCGUAGUCCGGAUCGCAGUCUGCAACUCGACUGCGUGAAGUCGGAAUCGCUAGUAAUCGUGAAUCAGAAUGUCACGGUGAAUACGUUCCCGGGCCUU